rnacentral:rRNA from 1 species
UGCGGAAUUUUAGAUAAUGGAGGGAACUCUGAUCUAGCGACGCCGCGUGCAGGAAGAAGGUCUUCGGAUUGUAAACUGCUGUGGUAAGGGAAAAAUGCUAUGUAGAGUGGAAAGCUACAUAGAGGGAUGGUACCUUACUAGAAAGCCCCGGCUAACUACGUGCCAGCAGCCGCGGUAAUACGUAGGGGGCGAGCGUUACCCGGAAUCACUGGGCGUAAAGGGAGCGUAGGUGGCCUAACAUGUCAACUGUGAAAACCCGGAGCUCAACUCCGGAACUGGAGGUGAAACUGGUAGGCUUGAGGACGGUAGAGGAAGACGGAACUGCCAGUGUAGGGGUAAAAUCCUUAGAUAUUGGCAGGAACGCCGGUGACGAAGGUGGUUUUCUGGGCCGGUUCUGACACUGAUGCUCGAAAGCCAGGGGAGCGAACGG